rnacentral:ncRNA from 1 species
CUUUCUGAGUAUCAUAGCAAACGAAAGUAGCUUUGGCAAAAUCGGAUACGUUGAUGAAAGAA